GUGAACGCUGGCGGUAGGCCUAACACAUGCAAGUCGAACGGCAGCACAGUAAGAGCUUGCUCUUACGGGUGGCGAGUGGCGGACGGGUGAGGAAUACAUCGAAAUCUACUUUUUCGUGGGGGAUAACGUAGGGAAACUUACGCUAAUACCGCAUACGACCUACGGGUGAAAGCAGGGGAUCUUCGGACCUUGCGCGAUUGAAUGAGCCGAUGUCGGAUUAGCUAGUUGGCGGGGUAAAGGCCCACCAAGGCGACGAUCCGUAGCUGGUCUGAGAGGAUGAUCAGCCACACUGGAACUGAGACACGGUCCAGACUCCUACGGGAGGCAGCAGUGGGGAAUAUUGGACAAUGGGCGCAAGCCUGAUCCAGCCAUACCGCGUGGGUGAAGAAGGCCUUCGGGUUGUAAAGCCCUUUUGUUGGGAAAGAAAGGCAGCAGGUUAAUACCCCGCUGUUCUGACGGUACCCAAAGAAUAAGCACCGGCUAACUUCGUG
rnacentral:rRNA from 1 species